CCCCCACCCCACCCCACCCCCACCCCACCCGGGGCGGGCCGGGGCGCCUGCGCGGAAGAGCCUGAGGGGAAGGAUCCCGAAGCCACGGUGCCCGAGAUUAAGAACAAGUCGAGAGAGGUAAACGGCGAACUGGUUAGGGGCAGAAACCCAGUCUUCGGGUCCACCGCUGUAUCCCCAACAUCCCGCGUAUAGUACAUCUUCAACAGCUGCUGAACGAAGGUCAGGAGGAAAAAAGGAAUGCUGCCUGUGGCAUCUUCCCGUGUGGAAACAGAUGGCUUCCCAUCCCAAGCCCCCCUUCCGCUUCUCUGGCCAAUAUGGCCAGAAGUCUGCUUCACAUCCUUAGUCACUUCACACCCAUAAAUUCAAAUCUGACUUUAUGUUCUUCUGUAAACCUGCUCUUUUUCCAGUGAACGGUGCCACCGUUCAUCCUGUUGGUCCAACCAGAAAUCUGGGAUGGCCCUAUCUCCCUCAUUCCCCAGAGCCUCCGAUACACACUUCAUUGAGUUUACCUCCUAAUUGUCUCCCAAAUCCAUACAUUCUUCUCCAUCCCUAUUGGCACAAGCCAUACACUCACCUCUCAACAGGAUUCCUCCAAUAAUCUCCAAAUCAUUCUUCCUGUCUCCAGUGGUGAUGCUUGUAGUAUAGAAUUUUUAAAAUGUAUUCUGAUCUUGUAACCUAUCAAUGAUUAAAACCCGUCAAUGACUCGA